CGGGACGGGUGAGUAAUGUCUGGGAAACUGCCUGAUGGAGGGGGGUAACUACUGGAAACGGUAGCUAAUACCGCAUAACGUCGCAAGACCAAAGAGGGGGACCUUCGGGCCUCUUGCCAUCGGAUGUGCCCAGAUGGGAUUAGCUAGUAGGUGGGGUAACGGCUCACCUAGGCGACGAUCCCUAGCUGGUCUGAGAGGAUGACCAGCCACACUGGAACUGAGACACGGCCCAG
rnacentral:rRNA from 1 species